GAAAGUAAGCAAGGGCGCAUGGCGGAUGCCUUGGCUCUCGGAGGCGAUGAAGGACGUGAUAAGCUGCGAUAAGCUUCGGGUAGGUGCAAAUAACCUUUGAUCCGAAGAUUUCCGAAUGGGACAACCCGUCAUUCUGAAGGAAUGACAUCUUGCAUAGCAAGAGGCUAACGCAGGGAACUGAAACAUCUUAGUACCUGCAGGAAAAGAAAAUAAUAAUGAUUCCCCAAGUAGUGGCGAGCGAACGGGGAUUAGCCCAAACCAAUGUUGUUACGGCAAUAUUGGGGUUGUAGGACCACGAUGUCGCAAGAACUUUAGUGAGAAGAAUUCUUUGGAAAAUGAAACCAUAGACGGUGAUAGUCCGGUAUUCGAAGCUAAACGAAGCGUAGUGGUAUCCUGAGUAGCGCGGGACACGAGGAAUCUUGCGUGAAUCUGCCGGGACCAUCCGGUAAGGCUAAAUACUCCCGAGAGACCGAUAGCGAACCAGUACUGUGAAGGAAAGGUGAAAAGCACUUCGAAUAGAAGAGUGAAAUAGUCCCUGAAACCGUGCGCCUACAAGCGGUCGGAGCAGCGUAAGUUGUGACGGCGUGCCUUUUGCAUAAUGAACCUACGAGUUACUUUUUCCGGCAAGGUUAAGCAUUUCAAAAUGUGUAGCCGAAGCGAAAGCGAGUCUGAACAGGGCGAUUAGUCGGAAGGAGUAGACGCGAAACCAAGUGAUCUACCCUUGGUCAGGUUGAAGGUUAGGUAACACUAACUGGAGGACCGAACCGAUAAGCGUUGAAAAGCUUCCGGAUGAACUGAGGGUGGGGGUGAAAGGCUAAUCAAACUUGGAGAUAGCUCGUACUCCCCGAAAUGCAUUUAGGUGCAGCCUUGGGAAUUACUACUGUGAGGUAGAGCGACUGAUAAGAUGCGAGGGCUUCACCGCCUAUCAAGUCUUGAUAAACUCCGAAUGCGCAGUAGUUCGAUCCCAGGAGUGAGGGCAUGGGUGCUAAGGUCCAUGUCCUAAAGGAGAAGAAUCCGGACCAUCAGCUAAGGUCCCGAAAUAAUUGCUAAGUUGAACUAACGAAGUCAGAUUGCUAAGACAGCUAGGAUGUUGGCUUGGAAGCAGCCAUUCAUUUAAAGAGUGCGUAACAGCUCACUAGUCGAGGAGUUUGGCGUGGAUAAUAAUCGGGCAUUAAGCAAUUUACCGAAGCUAUGGGAUCAGUAAUGAUCGGUAGGGGAGCAUUCCACUCCGCGUCGAAGGUGAAGCGUGAGCUUUGCUGGAGCGUGUGGAAANNNNNNNNNNGUUAACUAAACACUAACAUCGGUAGGGGAGCAUUCCACUCUGCGUCGAAGGUGAAGCGUGAGCUUUGCUGGAGCGUGUGGAAAAGCAAAUGUAGGUAUAAGUAACGAUAAAGGGGGUGAGAAACCCCCUCGCCGAAAGACUAAGGUUUCCUGAUCAACGCUAAUCGGAUCAGGGUUAGUCGGGUCCUAAGGCUCAGCCGAACGGUGAGGCCGAUGGCAGAACAGGUUAAUAUUCCUGUACUACCUUAAGGAGUGACGUGGAGACGGAGCAGUGAUAGCGCCGCGGACUGACGGAAUAGUCCGUUGAAGGGUGUAGAUGUUGAUCUUUGCAGGCAAAUCCACAAAGAGAGUCGAACCUGAUAGUAUGGAACGUUCUUCGGAACAAUCCAAUAGUGCGUGUAAGCAUACUCCCAAGAAAAUCCGCUAAACUUAAUCUUUAAGGUACCCGUACCGCAAACGGACACACGUAGUCGGGUUGAAUAUACUAAGGCGCUUGAGUGAUUCACGGUUAAGGAACUAGGCAAAUUGACCCUGUAACUUCGGGAUAAAGGGUCCCAACGAGAGUUGGGCGCAGAGAAUAGGUCCAGGCAACUGUUUAACAAAAACACAGGGCUGUGCCAAAUUGAAAGAUUACGUAUACAGCCUGACACCUGCCCGGUGCUGGAAGGUUAAGAGGAGAUGUCAUCGCAAGAGAAGCAUUGAAUUGAAGCCCCAGUAAACGGCGGCCGUAACUAUAACGGUCCUAAGGUAGCGAAAUUCCUUGUCGGGUAAGUUCCGACCUGCACGAAUGGUGUAAUGAUCUGGACACUGUCUCAACCGUGAGCUCAGUGAAAUUGUAGUAUCGGUGAAGAUGCCGAUUACCCGCGAUGGGACGAAAAGACCCCGUGAACCUUUACUAUAGCUUAACAUUGAAUUUGGGUAAUUGAUGUGUAGGAUAGGCCGGAGACUUCGAAGCAGGUACGCCAGUAUUUGUGGAGUCGCUGUUGAAAUACGGCCCUUUGAUUAUUUGAGUUCUAACUCGUAGAUGCGAGGACACUGUUUGGUGGGUAGUUUGACUGGGGUGGUCGCCUCCAAAAGUGUAACGGAGGCUUCUAAAGGUGCCCUCAGGACGAUUGGUAACCGUCCGUAGAGUGUAAUGGCAUAAGGGCGCUUGACUGGGAGACAGACAAGUCGAUCAGGUAGGAAACUAGAGCAUAGUGAUCCGGUGUUUCCGCAUGGAAGGGACAUCGCUCAAAGGAUAAAAGGUACUCCGGGGAUAACAGGCUGAUCCCUCCCAAGAGCUCAUAUCGACGGAGGGGUUUGGCACCUCGAUGUCGGCUCGUCACAUCCUGGGGCUGGAGAAGGUCCCAAGGGUUGGGCUGUUCGCCCAUUAAAGUGGCACGCGAGCUGGGUUCAGAACGUCGUGAGACAGUUCGGUCUCUAUCUAUCGUGGGCGUAUGAAAUUUGCGUGGCUCUGACACUAGUACGAGAGGACCGUGUUGGACUGACCGCUGGUUUACCAGUUGUGCCGCCAGGUGCAUCGCUGGGUAUCUAAGUCGGGAUUGGAUAAGUGCUGAAAGCAUCUAAGUACGAAGCCAGCCACAAGAUUAGAUUUCUUAGGGUCGUUAAAGACGAUGACGUUGAUAGGAUGCAGGUGUAAAGGUGGUAACAUCAAAGCCGAGCAUUACUAAUUGCCCGUUCACUUUCUUUC
rnacentral:rRNA from 1 species